rnacentral:rRNA from 1 species
AGAGUUUGAUCCUGGCUCAGAACGAACGCUGGCGGCAUGCCUAAUACAUGCAAGUCGAACGCGUCUAGCAAUAGACGAGUGGCGGACGGGUGAGUAACGCGUGGGAACCUGCCCUUGAGUGCGGGAUAACCGAGGGAAACUUCGGCUAAUACCGCAUGCGCCCCGGGCAACCGGGGGAAAGAUUUAUCGCUCGAGGAGGGGCCCGCGUCGGAUUAGCUAGUUGGUGGGGUAACGGCCUACCAAGGCGAUGAUCCGUAGCUGGUCUGAGAGGAUGAUCAGCCACACUGGGACUGAGACACGGCCCAGACUCCUACGGGAGGCAGCAGUAGGGAAUAUUGGACAAUGGGGGCAACCCUGAUCCAGCAAUGCCGCGUGAGUGAUGAAGGCCUUAGGGUUGUAAAGCUCUUUCGCGCGCGACGAUGAUGACGGUAGCGCGAGAAGAAGCCCCGGCUAACUUCGUGCCAGCAGCCGCGGUAAUAC